rnacentral:rRNA from 1 species
AACGAACGCUGGCGGCAUGCCUAACACAUGCAAGUCGAACGAGACCUUCGGGUCUAGUGGCGCAUGGGUGCGUAACGCGUGGGAACCUGCCCUUAGGUUCGGAAUAACUCCCCGAAAGGGGUGCUAAUACCGGCUAAUGUCUUCGGACCAAAGAUUUAUCGCCUUUGGAUGGGCCCGCGUUGGAUUAGCUAGUUGGUAGGGUAAAAGCCUACCAAGGCGACGAUCCAUAGCUGGUCUGAGAGGAUGAUCAGCCACACUGGGACUGAGACACGGCCCAGACUCCUACGGGAGGCAGCAGUGGGGAAUAUUGGACAAUGGGCGAAAGCCUGAUCCAGCAAUGCCGCGUGAGUGAUGAAGGCCUUAGGGUUGUAAAGCUCUUUUACCCGGGAUGAUAAUGACAGUACCGGGAGAAUAAGCUCCGGCUAACUCCGUG